rnacentral:rRNA from 1 species
GACGGAGGAUGCAAGUGUUAUCCGGAAUCACUGGGCGUUAAAGCGUCUGUAGGUGGUUUAAAAAGUCCACUGUUAAAAAUUGAAGCUUAACUUCAAAGAUGACCGUGGAAACUUUUAAACUUGAGUAUGAUAGGGGUAGAGGGAAUUUCCAGUGGAGCGGUGAAAUGCGUAGAUAUCGGAAAGAACACCAACGGCGAAAGCACUCUGCUGGGCCGAACACUGACACUGAGAGACGAAAGCUAGGGGAGCGAAUGGGA